GCUUGGGUGGCUCAGAUGGUAGAGCGCUUGCCCGCGACGCGAGACCGCUACGGUCGCAGGUUCGAAUCCUGCCUCGGGCA